CUCUUUGCGUCGGUGGUAGAUGCCAGACAUAAGGUGCUGUGUGUGCGGUGAUCGCAGGACAAAGAAAAUAAUUUGACCGUGUUCGCAUUCCCAGCACAACAAGGCCACCAACAGGAAUGGCGUCAUGUGUGUGGUAUCAGUGGGGUCAGGCCGGGGCAUGGAGUGUGCCAGGCACAUUUUCCAUCACAUGCCUUUUCCAGCCUGGCAGCCUAAACGAAAAGGCUUGGGGCCAAUGCUGUGCCCUCUCUGCAGCACAGGAAGGGUGUUACAGGCACCCCAGUGCUUCCCGUGUCUACACCAUCUCGAAG